CCAGAAAGCCAACUUCCAACUAAUGCCCCAGCCAGAUUUAUUUACGUGCAAAACUUAUACUUGCAAGUAUCUACUUAAUUGAGUAUUAAUGAAAAAAUUGCUCUAAAAUAAUCAAAAUGGGUUCUUUUAUUGCAUAUGCAGUUAUUAGAGAAAUCUAGCUUGGAAAAAAAUUUUUUUUCAGAAUUCGUGACCCUGGUGGGAUUUCCCUUUGCCCUGACUAACAUCUUCAUCACUUGGGGUAUUUGAGGACCAGCUUGCCUGCUGAUGGACCAGACCCAGUGGCCACAACCAGGACCCUUUGGUCCCUGGACUCCUCUUCAUGUGGACAACUGGCCAGAGUGCCCUGACUGGAGUAUUGGUGAAGAUUAAUGCAAUUUGAAGAACUUCGAAAAGAAGAAGCAAGCUGUUCGUGUACAGGACGACUCAACCAGGAAAGUUCAGUGUAUACAACUGGUCACUUAAAGAUUUGUCUUCAAGAAGCAAAAGCAGGCCUGCAAAGUAUCUGAAGCAACUUUGGACGUGAGGAACAUACUACAGAGAGUUACCCAGACACUAUUAUGACUGGCAGAAAAAGACAUACAGGUAAGAUCUAUCUAUUCAGUGAAAAUAUGUGUGGGAUGAAAAGAACCAGACCCCCUGAGAGUGUACAUACACACAUAUUUAGGAAAGCAUGAGUCAAUUGAAGCUGCUUCUUAGAAUCUCCUCCUGUCUAUGAGUGCUUCAGACUGCAGAAUAACCUGGAACUCUUUAUGGAAAAUACACUGGACAGCCUUUUACUCACACCUUUGACUUACCUUUAACUCCAGAGGAAAUCUUCACCUUUGGUUCAAUGUAUUAAACCUUCUUGUCGGAGCACAGGAAGUCCAGUGGGACCUUCUUACCUGCCUGCCCUUCUUGCCCUCUCUGACAUCUCAGAGACUGCAUUGCAGCAACUUUAUUUUUUCCCAUUUGUCAUGCACUUCCUAACCCCACUUACUUCUCAGACUUCAGUUACUUAUUUUUCCAGUAAAAACAGUCUCUGCAGGGUUUUCUUUUGUAAGUUUAAUCUCUGACAAUGAUAGAAUUAACUAAGUUGGAAAAAAUUGAGGAGAGAGGAAGGAGGAUGGACAGGAAGAGUAGGUGUGAGGCUAAAGCUAUAAGUUGACCAAAGCUUCAGAUUAUAAUAGAAGGGGGUACGGUAAGUGGGAGAGGAACAUACACACAGACCAGUACAGGUGAGCAAGGGCAAAGGCAUAGACAAGGAGACUGCUAAUUCUAGAAAGUGGCUAAGACGUUAUUCACUGUCAGCCAUCAUCAACUGGCCCCAUGAGGUUUUUAUGUAUUUAAACACAUUUAUUACAACUACACCUUCUGUGUUCAGUGAAAAUAUAAGGCCUUUUUGUUUGUUUAUUUUAGAUUAAUAACAUCUUUUUCUCAAGUUUUCACAAGAUGACUCAAGGGAGUGGAGAUUCAAUUUUCAGUAUUAUCAUGUUCAAAACUGGUAAUUUAAAUAGUUUAUUUUAUAUA
rnacentral:lncRNA from 1 species